rnacentral:misc_RNA from 1 species
GAUGAAGAACGUAGCGAAAUGCGACAAGUAAUGUGAAUUGCAGAAUUCCGUGAAUCAUCGAAUCUUUGAACGCACAUUGCGCCCUCUGGUAUUCCGGGGGGCAUGCCUGUUCGAGCGUCAUUAUAACCACUCAAGCUCUCGCUUGGUAUUGGGGCUCGCGGUUCCGCGGCCCCUAAAAUCAGUGGCGGUGCCUGUCGGCUCUACGCGUAGUAAUACUCCUCGCGAUUGAGUCCGGUAGGUCUACUUGCCAGCAACCCCCAAUUUUUACAGGUUGACCUCGGAUCAGGUAGGGAUACCCGCUGAACUUAAGCAUAUCAAUAAGCGGAGGA